AUGAACGCUGGCGGCGUGCCUAAUACAUGCAAGUCGAGCGAACAGACGAGGAGCUUGCUCCUCUGACGUUAGCGGCGGACGGGUGAGUAACACGUGGAUAACCUACCUAUAAGACUGGGAUAACUUCGGGAAACCGGAGCUAAUACCGGAUAAUAUAUUGAACCGCAUGGUUCAAUAGUGAAAGACGGUUUUGCUGUCACUUAUAGAUGGAUCCGCGCCGCAUUAGCUAGUUGGUAAGGUAACGGCUUACCAAGGCGACGAUGCGUAGCCGACCUGAGAGGGUGAUCGGCCACACUGGAACUGAGAAACGGUCCAGACUCCUACGGGAGGCAGCAGUAGGGAAUCUUCCGCAGUGGGCGAAAGCCUGACGGAGCAACGCCGCGUGAGUGAUGAAGGUCUUCGGAUCGUAAAACUCUGUUAUUAGGGAAGAACAAAUGUGUAAGUAACUAUGCACGUCUUGACGGUACCUAAUCAGAAAGCCACGGCUAACUACGU
rnacentral:rRNA from 1 species